CAAUAAAACCAUCUAGGAAAUAACCACAUCCAUAAUAGUUUGUUCCUAAAUACAAGCUUAUACCACUAGGUUUAAAGUUCAAACUGAAACCAAGUUUAAAUUAAACCAACACAGAAAAUAAAUUUUGACGAAUUUUUAGAGCAAAUAGCACAUCAUAUAACAACAUGGUUCAACAUUCACGUAUCACCAACUUACCUGUACCAAUACCUUUUAUUCCACUUUUGAAUUAUUUCCUACAUAUAUUCAUCGUGUUCUAUGUAGAAUGCGUCGGAAUUCCACGAAGGCAUUUAUGUCCUUGUCUACAUGGUCUGUGGCUGCUGAGUAUACAAUCCACAAAGGAUGAGAUUCAAUUAGAAAGAUAAAACUAGAAAUAAAAAUUGCACUCACACGUGCAAACAAGUCUUUUAUCUUUUUGGGCUACAAUCUUGAGCAAAAUGUCUAUUAUUCCCACAAUUAUUG
rnacentral:lncRNA from 1 species